CCUACGGGAGGCAGCAGUGAGGAAUAUUGGUCAAUGGGCGGAAGCCUGAACCAGCCAAGUCGCGUGAGGGAUUAAGGCCCUGCGGGUCGUAAACCUCUUUUGCCGGGGAGCAGAGGUCCGGACGUGUCCGGGCCGGGAGAGUACCCGGAGACAAAGCAUCGGCUAACUCCGUGCCAGCAGCCGCGGUAAUACGGAGGAUGCGAGCGUUAUCCGGAUGUAUCGGGGUAAAAGGGUGCGUAGGCGGGCAUUUAAGCCGGCGGUCAACUGUCGGGGCUAAACCCCGGCCGGCGGUCGGAACUGGGAGCGUGGAGUGAGCGAGAGGGAAGCGGAAUGCGUGGUGUAGCAGUGAAAUGCGUAGAUAUCACGCAGAACACCGAUUGCGAAGGCAGCAUACCGGAGCCCAACUGACGCUGAGGCACGAAAGUGCGGGUAUCGAACGGGAUUAGAUACCCCAGUAGUC
rnacentral:rRNA from 1 species